rnacentral:rRNA from 1 species
CAGCAGCUCAAGUGGUGAUCCUUAUUAUUGGGCCUAAAGCGUCCGUAGCCUGUCUGGUAAAUCCUUGGGUAAAUCGUACCGCUUAACGGUACGACCUCUGGGGAGACUGCUAGACUUGGGACUGGGAGAGGUCGGAGGUACUCCAGGGGUAGGGGUGAAAUCCUGUAAUCCCUGGGGGACCACCAGUGGCGAAGGCGUCUGACUAGAACGGAUCCGACGGUAAGGGACGAAACCCUGGGGCGCGAACCGGAUUAGAUACCCGAGUAGUCC